UUGUCCAUUUGGAAAAAAAGAAUUUGGCUUAUAAUUUUAAAAAGUUGUAGAGCAUUAGUAGUAUCAUGCUGCCGGAGAAGGCAAUGGCACCCCACUCCAGCACUCUCGCAUGGAAAAUCCCAUGGACGGAGAGCCUGGUAGGCUGCAGUCCGUGAGGUCGCUAAGCUGGACACGACUGAGCGGCUUCACUUUCACUUUUCCUUUCAGGCAUUGGAGAAGGAAAUGGCAACCCACUCCAGUGUUCUUGCCUGGAGAAUCCCAGGGACGGGGGAGCCUGCUGGGCUGCCGUCUAUGGGGUCGCAUGGAGACACAACUGAAGCGACUUAGCAGCAGCAACGGCAGGAUCAUGCUGUUAGCUGAAAAGCCACAUAUAAUACUUAAACCAUACCUGCCUGAGGCCAAGACUGAGUACAACGGCACACUCAAACUAAAUCUCACAGUGACCACCAAUCACCCCAGAGCAGCGCCUGUCGGCCAGCUUUGGUAUGAACAGAGGUGUGCAUCCGAUGGCCCCGCUGACGCACAGGCAGCUGAAGAGGGGACUGGGCUGAAACACCUGGCCGUUCUGAUAAUGCACCCUGUUGAACUCACAUCCCACAGCCAUGAGAU